UGUGUGUGUGUGUGUGUGUGUGUGUGUUAUGGAUCACUCCCAGUCACACUCUGUGUUCCUGUCAUGGUCCCAGCCAUCAGAUGGUGGGCAGCUCACUCACGGCUGGGCACUCAACUGAUGGCAGCUGUCCUGUAGGAAGUGCAGUUGGCACGGGUUUAUAUGCGAAAUUUCGCUCCCUUACAUCGCCUUGGCAAUGUCUUCACAGAGGAAGUCCAUAUUGUCCAUAAGAGGCUUAGACGUCUGCAUGGAAUGACAUCAUCUGGGCGCUGCAGGGUUGGUGCGUGUACAGCAGGGGGCGCUCUUACACAGUCACUGCCCAUCAUGAUUACAAAGGACUCAAGGGACUGUGAGAGGCAGUCUGCUAUUUCUGACACAUCCUCUCGAACAAGCCUGCUUUCGGCUUUCAGAGACGUUAAAUCUCAGAGACAUCUUACAUAAUACACUGUGUAUGAUUUUAUAUUAAGUUUUAAUUAUUUACA